GACGAACGCUGGCGGCGUGCCUAAUACAUGCAAGUAGAACGCACAGUUUAUACCGUAGCUUGCUACACCAUAAACUGUGAGUUGCGAACGGGUGAGUAACGCGUAGGUAACCUGCCUGGUAGCGGGGGAUAACUAUUGGAAACGAUAGCUAAUACCGCAUAAUAUUGAUUAUUGCAUGAUAAUUGAUUGAAAGAUGCUAUUGCAUCACUACCAGAUGGACCUGCGUUGUAUUAGCUAGUAGGUGAGGUAACGGCUCACCUAGGCGACGAUACAUAGCCGACCUUAGAGGGUGAUCGGCCACACUGGGACUGGGACACGGCCCAGACUCCUACGGGAGGCAGCAGUAGGGAAUCUUCGGCAAUGGACGAAAGUCUGACCGAGCAACGCCGCGUGAGUGAAGAAGGUUUUCGGAUCGUAAAGCUCUGUUGUAAGAGAAGAACGGGUGUGAGAGUGGAAAGUUCACACUGUGACGGUAUCUUACCAGAAAGGGACGGCUAACUACGUG
rnacentral:rRNA from 1 species